AGCACUGGACACAGGGGAAGGACUGUUGCUGGGUGGUGAAGGGAGUGAGUCUCAGCAGCAGUUUGGAGGAAGAUAGAACUAUUGUGAGCACUGGCAUCCUAAGGACUUCCUAGGGGUAAAGUAGCUCUGCUUGUUUCGUUGCAGCGACCAGAAAGCCAGAACAUAAUAUAAUAUAGAAGUCUUUAGAACGAUGUAUACAAAUGUCUCGCAGCAACUCCUGUACGCGACCAGACUAGGGCUUUGUUUACUUCCUCCGUAAAAUUCAAAAUUUUUCAAAAUUUUCCAUCACAUCGAAUGUGUGAAGGCCUCAGAAAAAAAUAAGGCAAAAAAACUAAAAAAAAUUCUUCCCCGAAUAUCUUCCUUGGCUUUUGGGGAAGAGACUCUUCGCGAUUGCCAAGCCCACAACACUCGAGGAAGCCAACAUUUUCCUCGAGAGUCGUACCA
rnacentral:lncRNA from 1 species